UGAAUGGAAAAACGGAAAGUAGCUAUCUUUAACAAGUUAUUAAAAAUUACUUAAUGAGUGAAAAUUCUCAUAUAUAGAAAAAAGACGAGAAGACCCUAGAAAUUUUUAUAAAGUGUAUUAGAAUUAAUAUUCUAUUUUGUUGGGGCGACAUAGUAACACUUAACUUACUAUAUAUUAAUAUGCUAUUUAUUAGUCGAUAGAAUAAAUUACUCUAGGGAUAACAGCAUAAUUCUUAUAGAGUUUGUGACCUCGAUGUUGGACUAGGAAAUAAUUUAUUUAGAAGGUAAAUUGUUUGGCUCUGUUCGAGCCUUUCCUCCUACAUGAUCUGAGUUCAAACCGGAGCUCCA
rnacentral:rRNA from 1 species